rnacentral:rRNA from 1 species
UACGUAGGGUGCGAGCGUUAAUCGGAAUUACUGGGCGUAAAGCGUGCGCAGGCGGUUUUGUAAGCCAGAUGUGAAAUCCCCGGGCUUAACCUGGGAAUGGCAUUUGGGACUGCAAGGCUGGAGUGCGGCAGAGGAGACGUGGAAUUCCUGGUGUAGCAGUGAAAUGCGUAGAUAUCAGGAGGAACACGAUGGCGAAGGCAGGUCUCUGGGCUGACAC